rnacentral:rRNA from 1 species
UGGGGAAUUUUGGACAAUGGGCGAAAGCCUGAUCCAGCAAUGCCGCGUGUGUGAAGAAGGCCUUCGGGUUGUAAAGCACUUUUGUCCGGAAAGAAAUCCUUGGCUCUAAUACAGUCGGGGGAUGACGGUACCGGAAGAAUAAGCACCGGCUAACUACGUGCCAGCAGCCGCGGUAAUACGUAGGGUGCAAGCGUUAAUCGGAAUUACUGGGCGUAAAGCGUGCGCAGGCGGUUUGCUAAGACCGAUGUGAAAUCCCCGGGCUCAACCUGGGAACUGCAUUGGUGACUGGCAGGCUAGAGUAUGGCAGAGGGGGGUAGAAUUCCACGUGUAGCAGUGAAAUGCGUAGAGAUGUGGAGGAAUACCGAUGGCGAAGGCAGCCCCCUGGGCCAAUACUGACGCUCAUGCACGAAAGCGUGGGGAGCAAACAGGAUUAGAUACCCUGGUAGUCCACGCCCUAAACGAUGUCAACUAGUUGUUGGGGAUUCAUUUCCUUAGUAACGUAGCUAACGCGUGAAGUUGACCGCCUGGGGAGUACGGUCGCAAGAUUAAACUUAAUGAAUUGACGGGGUCAUAGCUGUUUCCU